AACCAGGAUGUUGGCUUAGAAGCAGCCACUCAUUCAAAGAGUGCGUAAUAGCUCACUGGUCGAGUGAUCCUGCGCCGAAGAUUUCCGGGGCUAAAACUUACUACCGAAGCUACGGCAUCAGUAAUGAGGGGUAGGGGAGCUUCCCAUACGGGUUGAAGCAUGACCGUAAGGACAUGUGGACAGUAUGGGAGUGAGAAUGUUGGCAUGAGUAGCGAGAUGUGGGUG
rnacentral:rRNA from 1 species